AUUGAACGCUGGCGGCAUGCCUUACACAUGCAAGUCGAACGGCAGCACGGGGGCAACCCUGGUGGCGAGUGGCGAACGGGUGAGUAAUGCAUCGGAACGUGCCCAGUAGUGGGGGAUAACUAGUCGAAAGAUUAGCUAAUACCGCAUACGACCUAUGGGUGAAAGCGGGGGAUUCGCAAGAACCUCGCGCUAUCGGAGCGGCCGAUGUCUGAUUAGCUAGUUGGCGGGGUAAAGGCCACCAAGGCUUCGAUCAGUAGCUGGUCUGAGAGGACGACCAGCCACACUGGGACUGAGACACGGCCCAGACUCCUACGGGAGGCAGCAGUGGGGAAUUUUGGACAAUGGGCGCAAGCCUGAUCCAGCCAUGCCGCGUGCGGGAAGAAGGCU
rnacentral:rRNA from 1 species